GAUGAACGCUGGCGGCGUGCUUAACACAUGCAAGUCGAACGAAGCACCUUGAUUUGAUUCUUCGGAUGAAGAUCUUGGUGACUGAGUGGCGGACGGGUGAGUAACGCGUGGGUAACCUGCCUCAUACAGGGGGAUAACAGUUAGAAAUGACUGCUAAUACCGCAUAAGACCACCGCACCGCAUGGUGCUGGGGUAAAAACUCCGGUGGUAUGAGAUGGACCCGCGUCUGAUUAGGUAGUUGGUGGGGUAACGGCCUACCAAGCCGACGAUCAGUAGCCGACCUGAGAGGGUGACCGGCCACAUUGGGACUGAGACACGGCCCAAACUCCUACGGGAGGCAGCAGUGGGGAAUAUUGCACAAUGGGGGAAACCAUGAUGCAGCGACGCCGCGUGAGCGAUGAAGUAUUUCGGUAUGUAAAGCUCUAUCAGCAGGGAAGAAAAUGACGGUACCUGACGAAGAAGCACCGGCUAAAUACGUG
rnacentral:rRNA from 1 species